GUGUCAGCAGCCGCGGUAAUACGGAGGGUGCAAGCGUUGUCCGGAUUUAUUGGGUUUAAAGGGUGCGUAGGCGGCCUUAUAAGUCAGUGGUGAAAGCCCAUCGCUCAACGAUGGAACUGCCAUUGAUACUGUAAGGCUUGAGUACAGACGAGGUAGGCGGAAUUGAUGGUGUAGCGGUGAAAUGCAUAGAUACCAUCAAGAACACCGAUUGCGUAGGCAGCUUACUAGGCUGUAACUGACGCUGAGGCACGAAAGCGUGGGGAGCGAACAGGAUUAGAUACCCUGGUAGUCC
rnacentral:rRNA from 1 species